rnacentral:rRNA from 1 species
GACAGAGGGUGCAAGCGUUGUUCGGAAUCAUUGGGCGUAAAGGGCGCGUAGGCGGCUUGGUAAGUCGGAUGUGAAAGCCCAGGGCUCAACCUUGGAAGUGCAUCCGAAACUACUGAGCUCGAAUCCCGGAGAGGGUGGUGGAAUUCCCAGUGUAGAGGUGAAAUUCGUAGAUAUUGGGAGGAACACCGGUGGCGAAGGCGACCGCCUGGACGGAGAUUGACGCUGAGGCGCGAGAGCGUGGGGAGCAAACAGGAUUAGAUACCCCAGUAGUCC